AAUAUUUUCCUCUUAAAAUAAUCUCAUUCGAUAAUCAAUCCUAAUUAUUAACUAAUUUAGCAACAGAAUUGCUUGCAUGUGCACUUGUUUACAAAGACGUAUACGGAGAUGUGUAUAAAUACGAAGAGAUAAUCAAGCAAUAUGCAGUUUAAUUUGCUUACUGACGACAUUACGAUCGAGAUAGACUUCAAUUUCAAAAACAAGAUGAAAGGAUUGCUGUAUAUUUUUGUCAUUAUAAUGACUUUUUUGACAUUAACUUCAACGGUCAUGUCACAAGAAAUUGAACCCGAGCCUCUUCUGCAGAGAUGGAAACGUGAAACCUGCGAAUACCGGGAAUGCGAUCAGUUCUGUCGCCGCCUCGGCUUACCUGGGGGAGCUUGUGUAAGGGACAAAUGCGACUGCGAUCGUUUUUAGUCGAUUUACCUCAUUUUUAUAUGCAAUAAAAACUUUUUUUUUAAUAAAUUCGCUUUUUAAACCGAACAGGACAAAAUUAUGAUGAAAUAUAUUAAUUGCAAAAUUAA